UUUCAUUGAAAAAAAUCUUUCAGAGAUUUCAGGUAUUACACAAUCUUUUUUUAUAUUUGCUUGUUUUUUCAUUGUUUUCUUUAAAUGAAAUGUAGAGAAAGAAAACAUAAAAUAAACAACAAGAAAAUGAAAAUAAUCUUACCGCAGUCAAACAAAAUUAAACUUUAAAGGUGUAUUUUUUCAGUAGUGUUAAUUUUACAGUCAGAGUUAAACAAUCAUAAAUACUUUCAUAGACCGCCGCGCCUUUUUGGGGUAAAAGAAAAGAAAACAAAGAAAAUAUUCGAAACCACCUGCCCAAGAAUUAAUUUGGAAAAACUCUCACUUUUGCAACAUACAGCGCACAUGAAUGACACAUGCAGCACUCAUUCAGUCAUCUUUAUUUAUCGAUGAAUACCCUACAUUUCAGUUAAACGAAACUUCAUAAUGGUUCAAAAAUUGUAUAUCACAAUAAUAAAGGAACAGAUCCUCGAUAUGUAAGAAGUGAGAGCUAUACGAGGUAAUAUUUACCACGACGCUAGCGGUGAACCGUAAAGAACCAGCAGUGAUACUAGCUGAGACUCGGAUCUACGGGGAAAAGUGAAAUGUGUAAAAAGGUAAAAAAAGUAAACAAAAAACAAAAUUUUCCUUGAGCUGGAUCCUCGGCUGUACUAGUCUAAUGUCUUCUAAAGUUUGCGUUUCUUCCAAAGUACCACGACUGAUGUCUUUAUUCUUGAUUCUAGAAAAAAAGUAGAAAAUUAAUUAAGUCAAUAACUAACAAUUUUCUAACAAUUUAUAAAUAUUUACAUUGAAGUUCCUUCACAGUUUAUUAAUUUUUGGUUUUUCUACAUCACAAUUAUCGUUUACUAUUUUUUUGUAAAACAUUACAUGCGAAGAGAUACAUUUGAAAUAAUAAAGAUAUAACCAAAUGAUUAAGCAUUUAUAUGUUUUCAUGGUGUCGUGAUAAUUACAAUUUGUUUCAUUUUCUAUAACUUCUUCUAAGCAAGUAAACAUACUUACAUACAUACAAUAAAAAUAUCAUUAAAUGAGGUGUAAAAAGUUAAGUUUGCCUGUCAGCAAAUUUAAAAGACCUUUAACACAUUUAAUUGAGAUAGAUUUGCUGUUAGAAAAGUUAAUGUAGCCUAAAGCAAAAAAAAAAAUCCUUAAUAAGAUAAAGUAUUAUUAUUAUAUUGUGAAUAAAAUGUUUUAAAUAUUA